AAAAAUCCACACAUCUUCCUAUGGCAUACACUUUUCAAAACUCCUUUCUCCUCUUGUUGUCACAUUCCUUAGAGAUGUUCACAAUAAAUUCUUUAACAAGCAUUUCAUAGCACUUUCCAAAACCAUUUACAGUUUACAUUAAUCCAGACUCUUGAAUCAUACUCAUCACCUCUUUUCAUUCAAAAGCAUCUUUACCAAGUUCCCUUUCC
rnacentral:lncRNA from 1 species